GAGUCGGACCUGCCCAGUGAAUAUUUUUCAACGGCCGCGGUACUCUGACCGUGCAAAGGUAGCAUAAUCAUUUGCCCUAUAAUUGAGGGCUAGUAUGAAUGGUUUGACGUGAACAAAGCUGUCUCUAUGCAAUUUUUUAGAAUUUGAUUUCUAGGUGAGGAAACCUAGAUGUAAUUGAAAGACAAGAAGACCCUAUUGAGCUUUAAAAAAGUAAACUGAAAAUAAUAUAUAAUUCUAAAUAUUAAUCUGUUUUAGAUUUUGGUUGGGGCGACUAUGGAACAAAUAAAGCUUCUUUAUAAUUAAUAAAACUUACAGGUCUUGAUCCAAAAAUUUUGAUCAAUGGAAUUAGUUACCAUAGGGAUAACAGCAUAAUUUUCUUUGAGAGCUCUUAUCGAAAAGAAAGUUUGUGACCUCGAUGUUGGACUAGAAUGUCCUAAAGAUGCAGCAGUCUUUAAGGGUUGUC
rnacentral:rRNA from 1 species